rnacentral:rRNA from 1 species
GGGUUGUGAGGUUAAGCGACUAAGCGUACACGGUGGAUGCCCUGGCAGUCAGAGGCGAUGAAGGGCGUGCUAAUCUGCGAUAAGCGCCGGUAAGGUGAUAUGAACCGUUAUAACCGGCGAUACCCGAAUGGGGAAACCCAGUGUGACUCGUCACACUAUCAUUAACUGAAUCCAUAGGUUAAUGAGGCGAACCGGGGGAACUGAAACAUCUAAGUACCCCGAGGAAAAGAAAUCAACCGAGAUUCCCCCAGUAGCGGCGAGCGAACGGGGAGGAGCCCAGAGCCUGAAUCAGCAUGUGUGUUAGUGGAAGCGUCUGGAAAGGCGCGCGAUACAGGGUGACAGCCCCGUACACAAAAGCGCAUGUGCUGUGAGCUCGAUGAGUAGGGCGGGACACGUGGUAUCCUGUCUGAAUAUGGGGGGACCAUCCUCCAAGGCUAAAUACUCCUGACUGACCGAUAGUGAACCAGUACCGUGAGGGAAAGGCGAAAAGAACCCCGGCGAGGGGAGUGAAAAAGAACCUGAAACCGUGUACGUACAAGCAGUGGGAGCCCCACCACCAAAGCAUUCUCUGGUGUUGAAGGCCCUGCAAAGCAGCAUCGCGGUGGCGGAGCGUCGUUUGCGACGCCCAACACACAAAACAAGCGGUGAGUGCUUUGGGGUGGGGUGACUGCGUACCUUUUGUAUAAUGGGUCAGCGACUUAUAUUCUGUAGCAAGGUUAACCGAAUAGGGGAGCCGGAGGGAAACCGAGUCUUAAUUGGGCGUUAAGUUGCAGGGUAUAGACCCGAAACCCGGUGAUCUAGCCAUGGGCAGGUUGAAGGUUGGGUAACACUAACUGGAGGACCGAACCGACUAAUGUUGAAAAAUUAGCGGAUGACCUGUGGCUGGGGGUGAAAGGCCAAUCAAACCGGGAGAUAGCUGGUUCUCCCCGAAAGCUAUUUAGGUAGCGCCUCGUGAAUUCAUCUCCGGGGGUAGAGCACUGUUUCGGCUAGGGGGCCAUCCCGGCUUACCAACCCGAUGCAAACUGCGAAUACCGGAGAAUGUUAUCACGGGAGACACACGGCGGGUGCUAACGUCCGUCGUGAAGAGGGAAACAACCCAGACCGCCAGCUAAGGUCCCAAAGUCAUGGUUAAGUGGGAAACGAUGUGGGAAGGCCCAGACAGCCAGGAUGUUGGCUUAGAAGCAGCCAUCAUUUAAAGAAAGCGUAAUAGCUCACUGGUCGAGUCGGCCUGCGCGGAAGAUGUAACGGGGCUAAACCAUGCACCGAAGCUGCGGCAGCGACGCUGAUGCGUUGUUGGGUAGGGGAGCGUUCUGUAAGCCUGCGAAGGUGGCCUGUGAGGGUUGCUGGAGGUAUCAGAAGUGCGAAUGCUGACAUAAGUAACGAUAAAGCGGGUGAAAAGCCCGCUCGCCGGAAGACCAAGGGUUCCUGUCCAACGUUAAUCGGGGCAGGGUGAGUCGACCCCUAAGGCGAGGCCGAAAGGCGUAGUCGAUGGGAAACGGGUUAAUAUUCCCGUACUUGGUGUUACUGCGAAGGGGGGACGGAGAAGGCUAUGUUGGCCGGGCGACGGUUGUCCCGGUUUAAGCGUGUAGGUGUGUGUUCCAGGUAAAUCCGGUUCACUUUAACACUGAGGCGUGACGACGAGGCACUACGGUGCUGAAGCAACAAAUGCCCUGCUUCCAGGAAAAGCCUCUAAGCAUCAGGUAACAUCAAAUCGUACCCCAAACCGACACAGGUGGUCAGGUAGAGAAUACCAAGGCGCUUGAGAGAACUCGGGUGAAGGAACUAGGCAAAAUGGUGCCGUAACUUCGGGAGAAGGCACGCUGACACGUAGGUGAAGUGAUUUACUCAUGGAGCUGAAGUCAGUCGAAGAUACCAGCUGGCUGCAACUGUUUAUUAAAAACACAGCACUGUGCAAACACGAAAGUGGACGUAUACGGUGUGACGCCUGCCCGGUGCCGGAAGGUUAAUUGAUGGGGUCAGCGCAAGCGAAGCUCCUGAUCGAAGCCCCGGUAAACGGCGGCCGUAACUAUAACGGUCCUAAGGUAGCGAAAUUCCUUGUCGGGUAAGUUCCGACCUGCACGAAUGGCGUAAUGAUGGCCAGGCUGUCUCCACCCGAGACUCAGUGAAAUUGAACUCGCUGUGAAGAUGCAGUGUACCCGCGGCAAGACGGAAAGACCCCGUGAACCUUUACUAUAGCUUGACACUGAACAUUGAGCCUUGAUGUGUAGGAUAGGUGGGAGGCUUUGAAGCGUGGACGCCAGUCUGCGUGGAGCCGACCUUGAAAUACCACCCUUUAAUGUUUGAUGUUCUAACGUGGACCCGUUACCCGGGUUGCGGACAGUGUCUGGUGGGUAGUUUGACUGGGGCGGUCUCCUCCUAAAGAGUAACGGAGGAGCACGAAGGUUGGCUAAUCCUGGUCGGACAUCAGGAGGUUAGUGCAAUGGCAUAAGCCAGCUUGACUGCGAGCGUGACGGCGCGAGCAGGUGCGAAAGCAGGUCAUAGUGAUCCGGUGGUUCUGAAUGGAAGGGCCAUCGCUCAACGGAUAAAAGGUACUCCGGGGAUAACAGGCUGAUACCGCCCAAGAGUUCAUAUCGACGGCGGUGUUUGGCACCUCGAUGUCGGCUCAUCACAUCCUGGGGCUGAAGUAGGUCCCAAGGGUAUGGCUGUUCGCCAUUUAAAGUGGUACGCGAGCUGGGUUUAGAACGUCGUGAGACAGUUCGGUCCCUAUCUGCCGUGGGCGCUGGAGAACUGAGGGGGGCUGCUCCUAGUACGAGAGGACCGGAGUGGACGCAUCACUGGUGUUCGGGUUGUCAUGCCAAUGGCACUGCCCGGUAGCUAAAUGCGGAAGAGAUAAGUGCUGAAAGCAUCUAAGCACGAAACUUGCCCCGAGAUGAGUUCUCCCUGAGACUUAGAGUCUCCUGAAGGAACGUUGAAGACGACGACGUUGAUAGGCCGGGUGUGUAAGCGCAGCGAUGCGUUGAGCUAACCGGUACUAAUGAACCGUGAGGCUUAACCUUACAACGCCGAAG